CGGGCAAAUAGGGUAACUUAUACUAGUCCUGCACUGUAUUAAGCAUUUGCACCCUGCAAAUCAAGGGAAAGGUGCCACUGAGCAUGGUAGGAAGAGAGUAGCUGUUCUUCCUCUCCCAGGCAACAUCAGUGUUUCCUUAGAACGGUAACAAGAAGUUCCCUGCCAACGCAGUGACAACAGGAAUUUCAGAUUUAGAAACACGCAAAAAACAAAGUGACAGACAUGGAUAUUCACCCUCAUCAGUAGGGAAGGGGAACCACUGUAUAGGUGGUGGGGGGAAGUUGGGUGAUGAGGGCUAUGUCUCUGUUGUCUUUAUAAAGCUUCCUCCAAAUACUCCAUACUGGGACCAAGUACUAGGGAGGUAGAUUUUCAUAGGUUUGGGGGUUUUUUCUUACUAUGGUGCUGAUGUAUAUGUAAAGUUUAAAAAAAAAAAAGGUAAUUUGUAAAUAUGUUUUUACAAUUCUGCAGAUAUCACUGGGUCUACUAUCUGUAAAAUAUAUACAUAUAAAUAUAUAUAUAUAAAUAUAUAUAUACUGUUUGUUUAAAAUAGAGUAUUUUUAUUUCAUUCCUUAACUCAUCCUUACUGCAGUGGUAUUGCACUUCAGAUGACGUCUAAUUACUAAUUUGUACUGUAUCCCAGACAGCAACUUGCUCCAUUUUAUUCAGAUUUUUCUAGUUUUCUGUUUUUACUUUGUACAUUAAGCAUUGCUUAUUUCCUUUUGAGACCUGUACAGAGCUCUGAAAAUGUAGAAAUGACCUGAUGUUAACAUACCACUUUUAAAGAAAAAAACAAAAACAAAUAAAAGAUUGUUAUCUGAAUUUAAAAACAGGUUGAUUUGGAAAGUUCUCCCUCACAGAACCUCAGAGUCACCAUAGUACCAGGUACUAGCACUAUUAGCUUAGGGCUUUGGUGGAAGGAGAGUAAUCUACUUUAAAAUAAGGGGUUGGGGUUUAGGAGCUAUUUUAUCCGGUUGUGUAGCCAUAAGUUAAUCAGUAGAUAGAAAGAGGCAGAAUCUGUCUGGGUUUCUGGUUGCAGGAACGAACCAAUAGUUUUGUUCUGCCAUCGGUCUCUGUGGAGCUACAUAGUAGUUAACACUGCCAAAACUUUUAAUUGUAAGUCAUUUUCACACUUUCCGGAGCACUCAUUUUUUUAUGCUUAUUUUUUCCAAGGUUGGACUGUGGUUAAAGGAGAUUUUUAUAUUAAUUAAAAGUGUGAGCGAAAUCACUUCAGUCCUUUAUAAGUUACCCAAAGGAGGACCGAAGAAGGCUAUCCCUACUGUAGAAACAAAGCAAAUUGCACUCAUUGAACAAGGUGACAGCAAAUUCACGCAUUGUUUGUGUACUUCUCACCUGUACUGAGUCUGUUGCUUUUGACUGGUUUGGGUGGCAUACUUUAAAAAUAAAAAGAUCAGCUUUU